rnacentral:rRNA from 1 species
CUGAGACACGGUCCAGACUCCUACGGGAGGCAGCAGUGGGGAAUUUUGGACAAUGGGGGCAACCCUGAUCCAGCCAUGCCGCGUGAGUGAAGAAGGCCUUCGGGUUGUAAAGCUCUUUCGGCCGGGAAGAAAUCGCAUGGGUGAAUAACCCUGUGUGGAUGACGGUACCGGAACAAGAAGCACCGGCUAACUACGUGCCAGCAGCCGCGGCAAUACGUAGGGUGCGAGCGUUAAUCGGAAUUACUGGGCGUAAAGCGUGCGCAGGCGGUUUGGUAAGACAGGCGUGAAAUCCCCGGGCUUUAAACCUGGGAACUGCGCUUGUGACUGCCAGGCUAGAGUACGGCAGACGGGGGGUGGAAUUCCACGUGUAGCAGUGAAAUGCGUAGAGAUGUGGAGGAACACCAAUGGCGAAGGACAGC